CCAGAGGAUCAACGACCUCCUCCUUCCACUCCUGUUGCUGUUGUAUCCAUAGUAUACAAGGAUCCAUUCUAUAUCCCUCUCACCACCCCCUCAUUUCGGUGGUAACGCUCAGGAAUGCCGUGGUGUUCUUAAAUAAAUCGAGUACCACUUUGAAACCUCCCCGGCUCCUUUCCUUCUGAUAGAACCAAGAUUGGUUAUCUGAUGAAUCAGUUGAUAGGGAAAGCAUUAACCUGGGCAAAUCCUUUUUUAGGAGAGCAACAAGUCUAUUGCAUAUGAUUAUGCGUAAUUCCUAGCUGAGUUCAAGGUAACUUUUGAGCCAUUAGGUAAGGAAAAGGAUGCGGAAAAAGCCCUCAUGCGCAUAAGACAGGGCAAUAACUCUACUGCGGAUUAUGCCAUUGAGUUUCGUACACUUGCCUCAGAGGUGGAUUGUGGAGAAACCGACCUCGCCACUGGGCAAUGGAGAAGACUGAUUAUCAGCCUCCUGCCAUGUGACUAUGGCCCCUGGGAUGUAUUGCCCUUUAACCCCUUAAGGACACAUGACAUGUGUGACAUGUCAUGAUUCCCUUUUAUUCCAGAAGUUUGGUCCUUAAGGGGUUAAAGACAUGAUUUGGGCAUAAGGGAUUUGUGUUGUGCUGCUGCUGGCCCUUUAAGAACGAUCUAGGGACAUACUGUGGAGUUACUGGGUGGCCACCAUUUCCUGUAUCAGAGGCACAUGGUGAGAACAAUGGAUGAAGCACAUGGUGAGAACAAUGGAUGGCGGCCAUUUUAACUCACAGACACUGUGAGUGCCAUCUCGCCAGUAUUUGGUGCACAGAGACAUCGUGCAGUGGUUUUGGACUAUACAGCAGGGGACACAUU